ensembl:lncRNA
AGAGAGUGGCAGGUAGUAGAGGUCAUGACAUAAACUAACCAAUGGAGAGAGUGGCAGGUAGUAGAGGUCAUGACAUAAACAAACCAAUAGAGAGUGGCAGAUAGUAGAGGUCAUGACAUAAACUAACCAAUGGAGAGAGUGGCAGGUAGUAGAGGUCAUGACAUAAACAAACCAAUAGAGAGUGGCAGGUAGUAGAGGUCAUGACAUAAACAAACCAAUAGAGAGAGUGGCAGGUAGUAGAGGUCAUGACAUAAACUAACCAAUGGAGAGAGUGGCAGGUAGUAGAGGUCAUGACAUAAACAAACCAAUAGAGAGUGGCAGGUAGUAGAGGUCAUGACAUAAACAAACACAUUUAGAGUUUGGGACUAAAAGGUUCUGUCUGCAUAAAGAUUAUUCUGAGAUAAUUGGCUUUACAUUUUCCUCGUUGAUUUGAAUGGUGUCAGCUAUUUUUAUAUUGUAUUCUUUUGAACUUAACAUGAAUU